UAAGAGUAUUUAAAUUGUUGGGAUCUUUAGUUUCUUCAGUAUUUUUCAGUAAUAGUAGCAUUUUGAAAAGAUCAGCAGCAGUUCCAGUGGUAAAUAAGGAGUGAAUGAUGACAGUAAUGAACGGAAGAAGAGCCUGAAGGUUGGAACCAGGGAUGUUGGGAUUGGAUCAAGUAUGCCAGUGGAAGAUUUACACUUAUGGAUGAUGUCAGUCAGUUUGGAGAUCUCACACUACAAUCAGUGAUUCAUCCAUUCAUGGACACCCUGAUGGUGAUGAGCUAUUGGAUAGUAGCCACAGCUGCUCUGGGCAGUCUGUCAGAGGCCAUGCCCAAGAGAGCAGGGACUCAAACCAGCAACCCAAUGAUUACUAGAUGAACUCGCUCCACCGUUGAAACCAUGGAGGUGAGAAAGGGAGGCGACUGUUACAGAAAGUACAAGAGAAGAAAGUGAUGUUCUCACUCUUGGUAACAUGGUCCGCCUGUAAGAAGGAGGUCAUCAGCUGCUUUCUGCAGAGCUGGCACGGUUAUUGGUUUCUCUUAUUGUCCAAAUCAAUAACUAAUAAUUGACUUUUCUAAUUUUAACUUUGAGGAGCAAAUGUAUGAGCAGAUGUUUGUCUCUGUGAUGGUUCGCCUCCCAUUUAUGAUCAAACAGAAAAUACAAACACACAUCGUCCCCAUUUGCAACAGAAAUCGCCUCACUGACUGAACCUCACCUUCAGCAACAACCAGUAAAAUGUUUCUCUCUGGCUCCUCCCACCACUGCUGAGCUCAGCCAAUGAGAAGGCUCGUCUCUGCACAGCUCAAAGCAGCUUGAUGAUGAUGUUAGUUUUCCUUCUGCUGCAGUGGAUCAUCUCUGUUCAGCUGCUGUCUGACCUGAACUCCUGGAACAUGUUGCUUUCCCUCCUGCUCUUCUCUCUCUACAUAGCCAUGGGCUCCAUGAACACCGUCACACAGGAGCAGAGGGAACACGUCGCUUCAGAGGGAAGCCACACCGGUUUGAGCUGCGGAUAUGAUGGUUCUAUCUAUAAUGUCCAGUGGUACCGACAGCAGCAGGGAUCCAGACCAGAGUUCCUGCUCUACAUCACAGAGACGGGAUCGAUCCAUCCAACUCGCUCCGAUUUCUCAGCUGACAUCGAUAAAACUCAGAAACGAGGAAAUCUGCUGAUCUCCUCUGCUGCAGUGACAGACUCUGCUGUGUACUACUGCGCUGUGCAGCCCACAGUGACAGGAAACACCAGAACCCUGUACAAAAACCUGCAGUACUCCACAGCGGCCACUAGAGGACAGAAGGCCAGUCAUUUCUGGAGCCAGGCCCCGCUUUCUUGGAGUCCCCGGGAGGGGUACUGGAGAGUGCCCCUCCUGGGGACUCCCUUCUUCUACUGA